rnacentral:lncRNA from 1 species
UCGGUCGUACAUAAACUUGUGGUUAUUUUGUUUCCGUGUUAUAUUGAUUUCCAAAAUUUUCAUUUAAUCAUCAAAUUUAUGUGAAAUAAAGAAUAUGUUUUUUUUUUAAUAUAGAAAAGCUUUUUUUUUUUUUAAUAAAACCAUAUAGAUAAGUUUAAAUAUCUUUUUGUUAAUGGUAAAAUUUCUCCAUGGGUUGGCAAAUUUUGUUGACCAACCAUAACGGAAUUUACUCUCACACAAAUUUCAACAUCUCUACUUCUCUUUUCAUCUCUUUUGGUUGCACAUAUCAUUAACUCCUUUCCUUUUCAAAAGACAAAUAUAUAUUAUAUAGCAAGUGAUUCACCAUCCACCAAAUGUGAUCUUCUAAGUGGUGAUAUUUCUUUCAACAAUGUCAUUUAUGGAUUUAAAUAAUUUAUCUCCCCUUAUAUAUUUUGAUAUACUAUAUAUGAAUAAGUUUAUUUGUAAUUUAUCCAAGAACGUUAAUUGUAGGAAUACGGUGCCACUCUUUUCUUGAAUUAUAUUCUUGAGUUUUGGUUUAAAGAAACUGUAUACAUGUUCACGAUUUUUUAUUUAUUUAUUAGUAAAACAUAUAGUAUCAGUGUUCUUGUGUUCUUAGUUUAACUAUAUAUUAUAUUAAUUGAUCAUACUCAAUAGGAAUUUGUGUAUUAAACAAAAAAAAAAAACAUGAAAUAAGAAAAAUCUUAGUUAAUUCACACAUUUCCAUCACCAAACAUUCGAAGUAUUUGUCUCUAUGUCGACAACAUAUUAUACACACC